CGUGCCUCUUUAAAUCCCCAUUUUACGCCUCGUGGGGAAGCUUUCAGUUGACAAAUGACCGAAUUUUGCCGUCGCAAAUAUUUUACGUAAAUUCUUGCCAGUGAAAAAGACUCUUCUCAAGAAGAUUUGCUUUCAACAGAGCAAUAUAUUCCUUUAGAUCAAGAUUGUAUAUAACUCCAUUGCUGCGCAUCGUAUCACCAUCACUUGCUGUCGCAUAUCCGUAUAUAUUUAUUCGGCAUGCGAAGCAGAAUGAGGAGUAAAAGGAGAUAGAAGACAGGAUUGGCUCGACAUCGGCUAGCACCUGUCUGCUUGUACCGACAAGCGAAUUUAGCAUCGGGUCUAGGCGACCCGAGACUGUGCGCCAUGAAUCCACACCUGCGCCUCUGUAAAGAUUAUUUCAGCGCUCGCGAACGGAAGUAUGAAAGAAUUCACAAUAAAACAA